rnacentral:lncRNA from 1 species
CUAAGCUGAAUUUUUAUAGCGCACUGAUCGAUAUCUCGGUAAAAUAAUCAUUUUUUUAAAACUAGCGGGGUAGUGAAAUCUUUGCUUUGUGCUAAAGUCAACAGUGGCAGAGUUUGAGCUCAAAUAAAUGCCGGGAAGCCGGGAGCGCUGGGCAGUGCGCGCGCGCUGCAGCCGGAGCUCUCCAAGUGGCCUCCUGCGCUCCAGUCUGCGCCCACAGCCCGUGCUGCAGGUUGCUACGGCCCAGCGGACCAGACAGCCACCCGAACGGGCCGUCGCUGUCGCCAUGCGCCCCACCCGCCCCCAUCAGAACCAGGAGCCCCUUUUUGACUCCUCGCGUCCAUUAGUACCUGGCCGCGUCCGGGUUCGACCUGAUGGCAAAUAUGAAAUAUCAAAGCGCCUGUCAGGGGCCCUGAAUGAGGACAAAAGGAGCGCGGCAUUAAUGAUUAACUGUGCUAAAAGCCUCAGCUUUUGUAUUCCCAUGGUGCCCGGGCUAUCUGGCCGCCAUGUGACAUGCUCGAGCCAUUUUCUAGCAGAUUGAGGAAAGCCAGUGAGCAAACACAGGUGCUUUGGAGUCGCUGGCGCUGUCAGGGACAACGGCAAACAAGAGCAGCAAUGCCGGGCUAAAUGAGCUGCCCGCUCGGGCCUCGCUUUGCCGGGAGCUCCCGCAUCUCAAGUCCAAUGUCUCCCGCCCCGAUCGCCACUAUUCACGCUCUCCGUUCGAGAGUCUGGCGGUGGCGGUUGCGGGGAGGGCCGGAGAAUAAAUAAAUAAAUAAAGAUGGUGGAAUGCCGAAG